rnacentral:lncRNA from 1 species
AUGGUCCCUAGCUGUGUGUUGCCGCCUUCCAUGUCUGUUGUGAGGUGUGGAAACACUUUGCUUUUUUGUUGCUUUUAUGAAUUUUGUCUUGCUGCUUGUUGUUCUAUCUGUAUGCUACGUCUUGCUUGUCCUAUGUUGCUCUGUCUGUAUGCUACGUCUUGCUUGUCCUAUGUUGCUCUGUCUGUAUGCUACGUCUUGCUUGUCCUAUGUUGCUCUGUCUGUAUGUUUCGUCUUGCUUGUCCUAUGUUGCUCUGUCUGUAUGCUACGUCUUGCUUGUCCUAUGUUUCUCUGUCUGUAUGCUACGUCUUGCUUGUCCUAUGUUGCUCUGUCUGUAUGCUACGUCUUGCUUGUCCUAUGUUGCUCUGUCUGUAUGCUACGUCUUGCUUGUCCUAUGUUGCUCUGUCUGUAUGCUACGUCUUGCUUGUCCUAUGUUGCUCUGUCUGUAUGCUACGUCUUGCUUGUCCUAUGUUGCUCUGUCUGUAUGCUACGUCUUGCUUGUCCUAUGUUGCUCUGUCUGAAUGCUAUGUCUUGCUUGUCCUAUGUUGCUCUGUCUGUAUGCUAUGUCUUGCUUGUCCUAUGUUGCUCUGUCUGUAUGUUUCGUCUUGCUUGUCCUUUGUUGCUCUGUCUGUAUGCUACGUCUUGCUUGUCCUAUGUUUCUCUGUCUGUAUGCUACGUCUUGCUUGUCCUAUGUUGCUCUGUCUGUAUGCUACGUCUUGCUUGUCCUAUGUUGCUCUGUCUGUAUGCUACGUCUUGCUUGUCCUAUGUUGCUCUGUCUGUAUGCUACGUCUUGCUUGUCCUAUGUUGCUCUGUCUGUAUGCUACGUCUUGCUUGUCCUAUGUUGCUCUGUCUGUAUGCUACGUCUUGCUUGUCCUAUGUUGCUCUGUCUGUAUGCUACGUCUUGCUUGUCCUAUGUUGCUCUGUCUGUAUGCUAUGUCUUGCUUGUCCUAUGUUGCUCUGUCUGUAUGCUAUGUCUUGCUUGUCCUAUGUUGCUCUGUCUGUAUGCUAUGUCUUGCUUGUCCUAUGUUGCUCUGUCUGUAUGCUAUGUCUUGCUUGUCCUAUGUUGCUCUGUCUGUAUGCUAUGUCUUGCUUGUCCUAUGUUGCUCUGUCUGUAUGCUAUGUCUUGCUUGUCCUAUGUUGCUAUUGUCCAUAUUGUAA